rnacentral:misc_RNA from 1 species
CCGAGUCGAAGCCCCAUGGGCUGAGCUCCAAACACUUGUGAACCUACCGGUACUGUUGCUUCGGCGGGCGGCCCCAGGGGGGGCCUUUGCCAUCGCGGCGCCCGCCGGAGGUCUCAAACGCUAUGCUUCGAGUUGUCUCUCUGAGAAAGCACAUAACAAGUCA